rnacentral:rRNA from 1 species
AUGACAUGCCUGCACGGAUCCAAUGCCAUGGAUAGGUAUUCAUAUGAUCGGCUGUGCCGUCGGAAUUUCAACAAGCAGCGGAGGGAAGAUGGUUUUCGAGGACAAUGGCAUCUUCCUCAUGGCGCAAAUCACCUCAUUAGGGACAUGGAUGGAUUUAAAGUCUUGGCAAACAUAUUGGUAGAGGAUAAGGAUGAGGAUUGUCAUCAACGGUGGCGGAGGGACGCACGGUGCCGCUGCAUUGCUCUAACGGCGCCAUUCAGAUGCACAAUGGAAAAGAACAGCCGUCUUCCCUGCCAUCCGAUUCAUCAUCAUAUAAGCAAUUCCAGCCGUCCAACCAGUCAACGCAAAAACAUGCCUCGUUUCUUCCCCGUUCUGAAAUCAUCUCGCAGCGCAUCGACGGCGAAACACUGGAUUGAAGCACGUCGGUGA